AAGUCGUAACAAGGUCUCCGUAGGUGAACCUGCGGAGGGAUCAUUAACACUAUUUGACUAGGAUCGCUGAGUAUCUCGAAAGAGGGAAAACGUGAUGUUAGUUCAGAUUUUCACAAACCUGUCGAACUCGGUUACCUUUGUGUAACCAAUCUCCGCUGUUUCUUCCAAGUAGGUUGUUGUAGUGACGAAGUGAGCCACUCUCGUAACACUUUUGUGUUAUUUGAAUGGCGACUGGGCAACUUUUCUUUGAAACGGUCAAAUUUUUGGUGACGUUACACUUCUAAACGUCUCGUCCCCCUUUGCCAAUUUUCACCCUAAUUAAGCCAUAUAGACUGAUUUAACGAAGUAUAUCGAAAGGUGUAUCUUCGUCAACGAUAUAAAACUAAGCACAACUCUUAGCAACGGAUAUCUUGGUUCUC
rnacentral:misc_RNA from 1 species